UCUGACUUCUUGCUUCUCUCCUC
rnacentral:miRNA from 1 species